GAUGAACGCUGGCGGCGUGCUUAACACAUGCAAGUCGAACGAUGAAGCCCAGCUUGCUGGGUGGAUUAGAGGCGAACGGGUGAGUAACACGUGAGUAACCUGCCCUUAACUCUGGGAUAAGCCUGGGAAACUGGGUCUAAUACCGGAGAGGAGCGUCCACCGCAUGGGGGGUGUUGGAAAGAUUUAUCGGUUUAGGAUGGACUCGCGGCCUAUCAGCUUGUUGGUGGGGUAAUGGCUCACCAAGGCGACGACGGGUAGCCGGCCUGAGAGGGUGACCGGCCACACUGGGCCUGGGACCCGGCCCAGACUCUUACGGGAGGCAGCGGUGGGGAAUAUGGCACAAGGGCGCAAGCCUGAUGCAGCGACGCCGCGUGAGGGAUGACGGCCUUCGGGUUGUAAACCUCUUUCAGUUGGGAAGAAGCGAAAGUGACGGUACCUGCAGAAGAAGCACCGGCUAACUACGUG
rnacentral:rRNA from 1 species